ACUGUAUUACAGGGCCGUAGAAGGAGCUUUUAUGUCUCAGGCCCUGUCAGAUUCUUAGGAAUCUCCAAAUUCUGCU
rnacentral:lncRNA from 1 species